rnacentral:lncRNA from 1 species
GAUAUUUCUUUGUGUUUGCAGCAGCAGAGACCCCUUCAAAAGUUAAAAAUGUACAGAGUGGAAAUAAGAGCCUACACGCUGACCCCCAAGCUCUUGGGUUUGUCUAGUGUCUUGCUAAAACCAGUCACCAGCUCCACCAUUACUGAUGUCAGGACCAAGUGUGGGAUAAUUAUAGCCUCUCCAGCUGACUACUGGACCUCUUAAUAUGCCCACAGUGACUGAGGUUCCAGAAAAGUUACUACAUUCAAUCUUUACAUCGAUGGUUGGCCAAGAGUUCCUGCACCUCCAAUGUACUCAUCAUGCCACUGACAGAAUGGCUCUUUCUUCAAUUGGUGUAUUGUAUUACCUUCAACAAUUCCACUUACUCAUAUCCUUCUCAAAGAAAGCAUACAUAAAUUGUGUGUCCUUCUGAACUUGAUCUUUUAGGUGCUGAGUAUUCUGGUCCCAAUAUAGCAAAGCACUUAGGAUGGGAUUU